rnacentral:rRNA from 1 species
CCUAGUAAAAAAUCUAAGGUGUGACCUGCCCAGUGACUUUCAAUUAUAAGAAUAAAUUCUCUGUAAGAAAGUUAAAAGGACGCGGUAACCUUGACCGUGAUAAUGUAGCAUAAUCAUUCGCCAUUUAAUUGAUGGAUAGUAUGAAUGGUUAAACGAAUAUUUCCCUGUCUUAGUAGAAGCUAAAAAAAAUUGAAAUAAUAGUUAAGAUGCUAUUUUAAACUGUAAGACGAAAAGACCCUAUAGAGCUUAACUAUACCCUCUAUAUUCAUAAUAUAAGAAAGUACUCUUAAUCUUAUAGAGGCGGGUAGUUUAGUUGGGGCGACUGUCUUCUAUAAUUAACGAAGAUAAGCAACGUUAAUAAUAAACUUAUUGUAUAAUAUAAAUAUUUAACAAUUAUUAAAAUAGGCUAUAAUGACCCGUUGUACCUUUGAAAUAUGUUCAACGAUCAAUUGAUAAAAGCUACCUUAGGGAUAACAGGAUAAUUCCAUUUUAGAGUCCCUAUCGAAAAUGGAGUUUGUCA